AACGAACGCUGGCGGCAUGCCUAACACAUGCAAGUCGAACGAGACCUUCGGGUCUAGUUGCGCACGGGUGCGUAACGCGUGGGAACCUGCCCUUAGGUUCGGAAUAACUCCCCGAAAGGGGUGCUAAUACCGGAUAAUGUCUUCGGACCAAAGAUUUAUCGCCUUUGGAUGGGCCCGCGUUGGAUUAGCUAGUUGGUAGGGUAAAAGCCUACCAAGGCGACGAUCCAUAGCUGGUCUGAGAGGAGGAUCAGCCACACUGGGACUGAGACACGGCCCAGACUCAUACGGGAGGCAGCAGUGGGGAAUAUUGGACAAUGGGCGAAAGCCUGAUCCAGCAAUGCCGCGUGAGUGAUGAAGGCAUUAGGGUUGUAAAGCUCUUUUACCCGGGAUGAUAAUGACAGUACCGGGAGAAUAAGCUCCGGCUAACUCCGUG
rnacentral:rRNA from 1 species